UCGUGGUAGCUUAGUGGUCAAGGCAACGGACUAGUGAUCGGUGUAUCAUAAGUUCGAGACUUGUACCACUGAA